AGUAAAGUGGCGCACGGGUGAGUAACACGUGACUAACCUACCCUUGAGUGGGGGAUAACCUCGGGAAACCGGGGCUAAUACCGCGUAAUAUCGAGAGAUCAAAGGAGCAAUUCGCUUAAGGAGGGGGUCGCGGCUGAUUAGCUAGUUGGUGAGGUAAUGGCUCACCAAGGCUAUGAUCAGUAUCCGGCCUGAGAGGGCGCACGGACACACUGGAACUGAAACACGGUCCAG
rnacentral:rRNA from 1 species